UCGCUAACUAGCAGGGAGUUGUAAGCACUUUGCACCCUUUUCAUUGGAGGAAUUGGACUCCCCAAGCAAUGUUAUACUUAAAAGGAGCAAGUAAGUUACAUAUUAAUUUAGUCUUUCGGCCUGUAGCAUAUAGACAAAAUUAAGCAACUGUCCCAUAUUUACAUUUACAUUUUACAUUUAGGGCAUUUAGCAGACGCUUUUAUCCAAAGCGACUUACAAUAAGUACAUUUGUCAUAAGAAGUGCAUCAAGAUAUCGCUGUCGGUACAGAAAGGAUGUUCAUAGAACUAGUAUUUUAGGAACACAAGCUGUAUUUCCCUCACUUAACCAAUAGGGGGUAGGACCAAAUAUAUAAGCCGUAAAUACUACACAUAGCCACAAGGGAAAGCAGGACAUUACUGAAGGCUGCAAUAGAUACUUUAGUCACAGAGGGCAGCAUCACAGACCAGGCGAGGAAAACCGAGGAUUACGUCACACCGGUUCCUCUCCAAGUCUUCCGGUCCUCGCUGAGUCCAUAAAGAAGCCCACCUGGCCACGAAAACAUUAGAACUCUCCCGGCAGCGAUUACCAUACGUGGGUUUGUGGCUAGGAUCAGCUAGGAGAACACUCUCGCACGUAGGGCUGGGUAUCGAAUUUCGAUCCGGUUAUGGCACCGACCGAAAUGCUCCGAUCCUAUCGAAUAUCAAAACAUUAAUAGUUUUCCGGUGCCGUAUUUCGAUACUCAAUGAAAUUAAUCCCAGCCUGUCUGCCAAUAGUAAUAUCGUUUUCAACUGUUUCUGGGUAAAUGCUACGUCUGUGAGCCAAUAAUCAUGUGGUAUUACGAAGUGGUUACGAAUCUUAAGUCGCUGGUGAUUGGCUGUCACAUUUUCGGAGCGCGAGACACGUUUGUCUACUUGACCGUCACUAUAUCAAACUUUGUCAGCUGUAACGUCACUCUUGACGUUGUCAUAAUGCCUAAAAGGUCCAAAGUGUGGCUCCACUUCGCUCAGGUGGACACCAAUCGAGCCAGAUGCUCUAUUUGCCAAAAAGUCGUGCUGGCGAAAGACGGCAACACAUCAAAUCUUGCGAAACAUUUAAUAAUGCACAAGAUUAACCUCCGGUCGGACAGCUGCUCCGUGUUUGACUGUAAAGCUAAGAAAGCUAAGAAGGACGACGGGACUUCAGUCACCAGACCGCCUCCUUCUUCCACAUCGAAUUCUCUAUCGGCUAGUGACCGGGAUUCAGCUGGGAGUUUGGCCAACAACAUUACAGCCUCUGCCCCGCCUCUUACCAUACCUGAGGUAAGGAAGACAUUGCCAGGUAUUGCUAGUGUCAAUCCCUUCACGCUGGCAGAAAGGGGGAAAAUGACGAAGGAUCAGCGAGAGGAGUGCCAUAGGGUAGUCACCAAGUUCAUUGUUAAAGGUUUGCUGCCCUUUUCAACAGUGGAUACCCCAUGGUGGAGGGAGAUGAUAGCAGCCCUGAACCCUAAAUAUCAGUCCCCCACCAGAGACAUGGUAUCGAAUACUUUCGUGCCUGCAUGGUAUGCUGUGGAGAAGGAGAAUGUGAAGAGGGAGUUGGAGGCUGUCAGGGAUGUGGCUGUGACUGCUGAUGGAUGGACCAGUGUUGCGCAAGAUCACUACCUCACUGUUUCUGUCCACUAUAUAAUAGAGGGGGCCAUGAAGGAGAAAAUACUGCACACGCAGGCAGUGUAUGUAUCACAGACAGGGGUAGCAAUAGCAGAAGAGAUAGGGGACAUUUUGGAAGAAUUUGGGGUAAAGGAGAAAGUUGUGGCCAUCACUGUGGAUAAUUCUGCAAACAUGGAUGUGGCAGUGAGAAGGAUG
ensembl:lncRNA